UACACUCCUACGGGAGGCAGCAGUGGGGAAUUUUGGCCAAUGGGCGAAAGCCUGAUCCAGCAAUGCCGCGUGAGUGAAGAAGGCCUUCGGGUUGUAAAGCUCUUUUGUCAGGGAAGAAACGGUGAGAGCUAAUAUCUUUUGCUAAUGACGGUACCUGAAGAAUAAGCACCGGCUAACUACGUGCCAGCAGCCGCGGUAAUACGUAGGGUGCAAGCGUUAAUCGGAAUUACUGGGCGUAAAGCGUGCGCAGGCGGUUUUGUAAGUCUGAUGUGAAAUCCCCGGGCUCAACCUGGGAAUUGCAUUGGAGACUGCAAGGCUAGAAUCUGGCAGAGGGGGGUAGAAUUCCACGUGUAGCAGUGAAAUGCGUAGAUAUGUGGAGGAACACCGAUGGCGAAGGCAGCCCCCUGGGUCAAGAUUGACGCUCAUGCACGAAAGCGUGGGGAGCAAACAGGAUUAGAAACCCGAGUAGUCCCA
rnacentral:rRNA from 1 species